rnacentral:rRNA from 1 species
UACGUAGGGGGCAAGCGUUGUCCGGAAUCAUUGGGCGUAAAGAGCGCGUAGGCGGCCCAGUAAGUCCGCUCUGAAAGUCAGGGGCUCAACCCCUGAAUGCGGGUGGAUACUGCUGGGCUAGAGUCCGGAAGAGGCGAGUGGAAUUCCUGGUGUAGCGGUGAAAUGCGCAGAUAUCAGGAAGAACACCCGUGGCGAAAGCGGCUCUCUGGAACGGUACUGACGCUGAGACGCGAAAGCGUGGGGAGCGAACAGG